UAAAGGCUUGGUCCUGGCCUUUCUAUUAGCCCUUAGUAGGAUUACACAUGCAAGUAUCCGCAUUCCAGUGAAAAUGCCCUUGAAAUCAACCAUGAUCAUAAAGGAGCGGGUAUCAAGCACACCACACAGUAGCUCAUGACACCUAGCCUAGCCACACCCCCACGGGAUACAGCAGUGAUAAAAAUUAAGCAAUGAACGAAAGUUUGACUAAGCCAUACUACCCCAGGGUUGGUAAAUCUCGUGCCAGCCACCGCGGUCAUACGAUUAACCCAAGUUAAUAGAUAUACGGCGUAAAACGUGUUAAAGAAUAAACUCCAAAUAAAGUUAAAAUUAGGCUGUGCUGUAAAAAGCUCCAGACAAAAUGAAAAUACACAACGAAAGUGACUUUAAAAUAUCUGACAACACGAUAGCUAAGACACAAACUGGGAUUAGAUACCCCACUAUGCUUAGCCCUAAACCUAGAUAGCCACACAACAACGCUAUUCGCCAGAGUACUACUAGCAACAGCUUAAAACUCAAAGGACUUGGCGGUGCUUCACACCCUUCUAGAGGAGCCUGUUCUGUAAUCGAUAAACCCCGAUAAACCUCACCAACCCUUGCUAAUACAGCCUAUAUACCGCCAUCUUCAGCAAACCCUAAAAAGGAACCAUAGUAAGCAAAACUAUGUAACAUAAAAACGUUAGGUCAAGGUGUAGCCCAUGGGUUGGGAAGAAAUGGGCUACAUUUUCUAAUAUAGAACACUUUAACGAAUAUUCCCGUGAAACCAGGAAUGGAAGGAGGAUUUAGUAGUAAAUUAAGAAUAGAGAGCUUAAUUGAAUUAGGCCCUGAAGCACGCACACACCGCCCGUCACCCUCCUCAAGUACCAACACACAAUUAAUUAAACCUAUUAACAAAUGUGCACACAUAUGAGAGGAGAUAAGUCGUAACAAGGUAAGCGUACUGGAAAGUGCGCUUGGACAAAUCAAAGU
rnacentral:ncRNA from 1 species